rnacentral:tRNA from 2 species
GAAAAUCCGUUGACUUUAAAAAUCGUGAGGGUUCAAGUCCC